AGGGAAGCAAGACCGCGAGGUGGAGCAAAUCCCUAAAAGCCAUCCCAGUUCGGAUUGCAGGCUGCAACCCGCCUGUAUGAAGUUGGAAUUGCUAGUAAUCGCGAAUCAGAAUGUCGCGGUGAAUACGUUCCCGGGCCUUGUACACACCGCCCGUCACACCAUGGGAGUCGGUAACACCCGAAGUCGGUAGCCUAACCGUAAGGAGGGCGCCGCCGAAGGUGGGAUUGAUGACUGGGGUGAAGUCGUAACAAGGUAUC
rnacentral:rRNA from 1 species